UUCCAGCGUGCGUGAGACUUCGACUUGAGCCUUGGAGGUGCAGCUUUCUGGGGUCCGACUUUUGUUGUCGGGCUCUUCUGAGGUUGCACUGGGUUCGACUUCCUUGGGGUCCGACUUUUCUGAAAGUCGGUCCCUUUCGAAGUUGUUUCUCUAUUGGACUGUGGUCCGACUUUGUGAGGUUUGACGCCUUGUCAUCGACUUUUCAAAGUUGGAUCCA
rnacentral:lncRNA from 1 species